CUAAUGCCGGAUAUUGUGUCCUACUGCAUAGUAGGUUAACGAAAGAUUUAUCGUUGUGGGAUGAGCUUGCGUCCGAUUAGCUAGUUGGCGGGGUAAUAACCCACCAAGGCGACGAUCGGUAGCCGGCCUGAGAGGGUGAUCGGCCACAUUGGGACUGAGAUACGGCCCAGACUCCUACGGGAGGCAGCAGUAGGGAAUAUUGCGCAAUGGGGGGAACCCUGACGCAGCAACGCCACGUGUGGGAAGAAGCAUUUCGGUGUGUAAACCACUGUCGGAAAGGAAUAACGGAAGACUUCGGUCUUUAUGAGUGUACUUUUAGAGGAAGCACCGGCAAACUUCGUGCCAGCAGCCGCGGUAAUACGAGGGGUGCAAGCGUUGUUCGGAAUCACUGGGCGUAAAGGGAGCGUAGGCGGAAGUGCAAGCAAUCUGUAUAAUCCUGGGGCCCAACCCCAGUUCUGCAGAUUGGACUGUAUUUCUUGAAUAGUUCAGAGGCAAGCGGAAUUUCUGGUGUAGCGGUGGAAUGCGUAGAGAUCAGAAAGAACACCAAUGGCGAAGGCAGCUUGCUGGGGACUUAUUGACGCUGANGCUCGAAAGUGUGGGUAGCAAACAGGAUUAGAUACCCUGGUAGUCCACACUGUAAACGA
rnacentral:rRNA from 1 species